AGUAAUCCACCUGGGGAGUACGACCGCAAGGUUGAAACUCAAAGGAAUUGACGGGGGCCCGCACAAGCAGUGGAGUAUGUGGUUUAAUUCGACGCAACGCGAAGAACCUUACCAAGUCUUGACAUCCCUUGACGGUGCUGGAAACAGUACUUUCCUUCGGGACGCAGAGACAGGUGGUGCAUGGUUGUCGUCAGCUCGUGUCGUGAGAUGUUGGGUUAAGUCCCGCAACGAGCGCAACCCUUAUGGUCAGUUACUACGCAAGAGGACUCUGGCCAGACUGCCGUUGACAAAAC
rnacentral:rRNA from 1 species